GAACGAUGAUGCCCAGCUUGCUGGGUGGAUUAGUGGCGAACGGGUGAGUAACACGUGAGUAACCUGCCCCUGACUCUGGGAUAAGCGUUGGAAACGACGUCUAAUACUGGAUAUGAUCACUGGCCGCAUGGUCUGGUGGUGGAAAGAUUUUUUGGUUGGGGAUGGACUCGCGGCCUAUCAGCUUGUUGGUGAGGUAAUGGCUCACCAAGGCGACGACGGGUAGCCGGCCUGAGAGGGUGACCGGCCACACUGGGACUGAGACACGGCCCAGACUCCUACGGGAGGCAGCAGUGGGGAAUAUUGCACAAUGGGCGAAAGCCUGAUGCAGCAACGCCGCGUGAGGGAUGACGGCCUUCGGGUUGUAAACCUCUUUUAGUAGGGAAGAAGCGAAAGUGACGGUACCUGCAGAAAAAGCACCGGCUAACUACGUGCCAGCAGCCGCGGUAAUACGUAGGGUGCAAGCGUUGUCCGGAAUUAUUGGGCGUAAAGAGCUCGUAGGCGGUUUGUCGCGUCUGCUGUGAAAUCCCGAGGCUCAACCUCGGGCUUGCAGUGGGUACGGGCAGACUAGAGUGCGGUAGGGGAGAUUGGAAUUCCUGGUGUAGCGGGGAAUGCGCAGAUAUCAGGAGGAACACCGAUGGCGAAGGCAGAUCUCUGGGCCGUAACUGACGCUGAGGAGCGAAAGCAUGGGGAGCGAACAGGAUUAGAUACCCUGGUAGUCCAUGCCGUAAACGUUGGGCGCUAGAUGUAGGGACCUUUCCACGGUUUCUGUGUCGUAGCUAACGCAUUAAGCGCCCCGCCUGGGGAGUACGGCCGCAAGG
rnacentral:rRNA from 1 species